UCAUAAUACACGCUAAAUAUUCACUUACAUUGUUCAAUAUCAGCUCCAGAGAUUUUGCCUUGAGUACCAAAAUGGAUACGGAUAAAUUUACCCUAAAUCAGAUGAUAAGAUCAUAUUAUAACAUAUGGAGAAGUCAUGUCUUACCGGCACCAGAUUCACCACUGCCGGGUAAAAAUGGAAUAACAUAAUCAGACAACAAGCGAGAUAGGUUAACUAGAGAUGUGCAAACUGCGCCAUCAGGUGGGAGGAAACAGUGGUAUUAUAAUGUACACGAAACAGAAGAUAAUGAUGAAAACAGCGAUGGAUUAUAGCCAUGAAACAAUUUGGUUGGUUCUUUGAUGUAGAAGUAUGUUGUGUGUAUAAUAUCAGUGAUAAGAUAUUAGGCCUAUGUUAGAAUAUGAUGUGAUCUAUUAAACAAGAAAUAGCUCUAGGUAUUGGAACACAUUAUGGGACGUUAAAACGUUUGAUUACUAUUGCUUAACUAUUUUUUAAAAAUAUUUACGGAUGUAAAGAACAUGCCCUCAAAUGAACAUAUUAUGUGAUGCCUUAAUAGCAGGUCACUGAUAGGUGAAACCAAAUUCCUAUAGAAUGCAGUUAUGGAAGAAUCAUAUAAAUCUGCGACUACGUUCAGAUAACGUUUUCACUGCUUUCAGAUAAAAUAGGUUUAUGGCUAGAUUUACCUCAACGGAAGAUAACUUUAAAACAAAUAAAUAAACAUAAAACCAAAAGUAAGGCUGACCUUAAAAAUAUCUUUGUUUCGCCAAACGCGACCGACUAACUAAAACCACCCCCGACUUAAAUUAUUUUAUUGCACUUUUCCGCGAUCUUUUUAUUUUAUUUUGUGUGUCAACCUGAAAUAUAUCACGAGAGUUAUUUCCCUUUACUAUGGCUAUGGUUUGAUUCAUUAUUGAAACUGGUUGAUCAAGACGAAAGCGUCAUAGGUGUCGCUUCUCAACAAAAUGGUUGCAGACGAAAGCACGUCCAUUCCCACGAAAUGAUUCUGCCUCUAUGUCUGUGGGGCGUCGUUUUAAACAUGACGACGAUAUUUUCAAUAUCCGUUUUCGAGAAAAAUAAAGGCACAACCCGCACGAUCGUUAAAAACGUGUUGAGGGAGUUUCAAACGU